rnacentral:rRNA from 1 species
AACGUAGGUACCGAGCGUUAUCCGGAUUUACUGGGCGUAAAGCGCGUUCAGGCGGUUUGGCAAGUCGGGCAUGAAAUCUCUCGGCUCAACCGGGAGAGGUUGUCCGAUACUGCUGGACUUGAGGGCAGUAGAGGGUGGUGGAAUUCCGGGUGUAGUGGUGAAAUGCGUAGAUAUCCGGAGGAACACCAGUGGCGAAAGCGGCCACCUGGACUGCACCUGACGCUGACACGCGAAAGCUAGGGGGAGCGAACGGGG